AUUGAACGCUGGCGGCAUGCCUUACACAUGCAAGUCGAACGGUAACAGGUCUUCGGAUGCUGACGAGUGGCGAACGGGUGAGUAAUACAUCGGAACGUGCCCGAUCGUGGGGGAUAACGAAGCGAAAGCUUUGCUAAUACCGCAUAAGAUCUACGGAUGAAAGCAGGGGACCGCAAGGCCUUGCGCGAACGGAGCGGCCGAUGGCAGAUUAGGUAGUUGGUGGGAUAAAAGCUUACCAAGCCGACGAUCUGUAGCUGGUCUGAGAGGACGACCAGCCACACUGGGAGUGGGACACGGCCCAGACUCCUACGGGAGGCAGCAGUGGGGAAUUUUGGACAAUGGGCGAAAGCCUGAUCCGGCCAUGCCGCGUGCAGGAUGAAGGCCUUCGGGUUGUAAACUGCUUUUGUACGGAACGAAAAGACUCUUUCUAAUAAAGAGGGUCCAUGACGGUACCGUAAGAAUAAGCACCGGCUAACUACGUGCCAGCCGCCGCAGUAACAC
rnacentral:rRNA from 1 species